GGGCUCCGGGCGGCCGUGACCCUGCUGGAGUCCGGGGGGGACCUCCAGCCCCCCGGGGGGUCCCUGCGCCUCCUCUGCCGAGGGGAUGGAUUCGAGUUCGGGAAAUUUGUGAUGUUCUGGAUCCGCCAAAAACCCGGGAAGGCGCUGGAAUUCGUCGCGAGCAUCAGCAGUGGAGGCAGCACCAAAUACGCUCCAUCCGUGCAGGGCCGGUUCACCAUCAGCAGGGACAACGGGCAGAGCUCGGUGACGCUGAGCAUGAACAACCUCCAGGACGAGGAUUCCGGGGUUUAUUUCUGUGCCAAAUCUUUUGGUGAUAGUUGGGGUGCUGCUGCUGAUGGUGACAAACCCGUCACCGAGCUCUGCCCGUUGUCGCUGCCCAUCGUCAACCGGCCCCGCACCCACGGCGCGUAG